rnacentral:misc_RNA from 1 species
CGGAGACAAAGGGGCAGAUAAAGCUGCGGUUCAAAACAGCAGCAGGGAAAGAUGUGGUGUGCAUUAGGUCUUUUCAGCUAACUCAGAAGGCAACAAAGAUGGAAUACAAGGCCAUUGAGAGCGUUCUACAGACUAUAAAUCCUCACACUGGAGAGAAAGUUUGCCUAAGUUAUAGAUGUGCCGAUAUGGACCGAGAAAUCCCUGCUCUCAUGGGUGUCUCAAAGGCCAUUCUUGAAAAUGUGAUAUUUGUUCACCAAGAUGAGGCAAACUGGCCAUUACAAGAACCGGGUACGCUGAAAAAGAAGUUUG